GAUGAACGCUAGCGGCAGGCCGUAACACGAUGCAAGUCGAGGGGCAGCACAGGUAGCAAUACUGGGUGGCGACCGGCGGGAUGGGUGCGUAACGCGUAUGCAACCUACCAUUGGAUUGGGGCAUAGCCCGAAGAAAUUCGGAUUAAUACUCCAUAAUAUUCAUCAAAGGCAUCUUUUAUGAAUUAAAGCUUUUGCGAUCAAUGAUGGGCAUGCGUGACAUUAGUUAGUUGGUGAGGUAACGGCUCACCAAAACGAUGAUGUCUAGGGGUUCUGAGAGGAUUAUCCCCCACACUGGUACUGAGACACGGACCAGACUCCUACGGGAGGCAGCAGUGAGGAAUAUUGGUCAAUGGACGCAAGUCUGAACCAGCCAUGCCGCGUGCAGGAUGACGGCCCUAUGGGUUGUAAACUGCUUUUCCACGGGAAGAACCCUCCGACGUGUCGGAGACUGACGGUACCGUGGGAAUAAGCAUCGGCUAACUCCGUG
rnacentral:rRNA from 1 species